UGACCGCUGGCGGCGUGCCUAAUACAUGCAAGUCGAGCGACCGGACGAGAAGCUUGCUUCUCUGCUGUUAGCGGCGGACGGGUGAGUAACACGUGGAUAACCUACCUAUAAGACUGGGAUAACUUCGGGAAACCGGAGCUAAUACCGGAUAAUAUUUUGAACCGCAUGGUUCAAAAGUGAAAGACGGUCUUGCUGUCACUUAUAGAUGGAUCCGCGCUGCAUUAGCUAGUUGGUAAGGUAACGGCUUACCAAGGCAACGAUGCAUAGCCGACCUGAGAGGGUGAUCGGCCACACUGGAACUGAGACACGGUCCAGACUCCUACGGGAGGCAGCAGUAGGGAAUCUUCCGCAAUGGGCGAAAGCCUGACGGAGCAACGCCGCGUGAGUGAUGAAGGUCUUCGGAUCGUAAAACUCUGUUAUUAGGGAAGAACAUAUGUGUAAGUAACUGUGCACAUCUUGACGGUACCUAAUCAGAAAGCCACGGCUAACUACGUG
rnacentral:rRNA from 1 species